AUUGAACGCUGGCGGCAUGCCUUACACAUGCAAGUCGAACGGCAGCACGGGGCAACCUGGUGGCGAGUGGCGAACGGGUGAGUAAUGCAUCGGAACGUACCUUUCAGUGGGGGACAACGUAGCGAAAGUUACGCUAAUACCGCAUAUUCUCUGAGCAUGAAAGCAGGGGAUCGCAAGACCUCGCGCGAAUGGAGCGGCCGAUGGCAGAUUAGGUAGUUGGUGGGGUAAAGGCUCACCAAGCCAGCGAUCUGUAGCUGGUCUGAGAGGACGACCAGGCACACUGUGACUGAGACACGGCCUAGAGUCCGACGGGAGGCAGCAGUGGGGAAUAUUGGACAAUGGGCGCAAGCCUGAUCCAGCGAUUCCGCGUGCGUGAUGAAGGCCUUCGGGUUGUAAACUGCUUUUGUACGGAACGAAACGGUUCCCUCUAAUACAGGGGGCUGAUGACGGUACCGUAAGAAUAAGCACCGGCUAACUACGUGCCAGCCGCCGCGGUAAUAC
rnacentral:rRNA from 1 species